CAGGACUUUCUACAAGUGUAAGGAUACUUUCGUGAGCCACGGUACAUCGCGUCGAUAUCACGUUUCAUCGAACAUCGUUCGAUACAGUGCAAUUCAAUUGUCCGUCGUUGGAAACGAUUCGAAGAUCGCAUUGAGAAAGCGAGGGCGCAAAUCGACGUGGCUCUCGCUGCUUUUGACAGUGACGCAUUACUUUGAAAUCGUCUUGGCCACCCCAGCUCUUAAUACAAGGCAGACAAGCCGCGCCGCCGACAUCGGAAAGCGUUACCAAAGACAUCACAGAGCGAUCCAGAGUCGAGCAAUAUGCCAUCAAAUCCCCGUAACCAUCAAUAUCUUUUCGUUCCCGGCCGUAGAAAUCGCCCGUCCGGAUCUCCACCCUUCUGGCUGCGCUGAAAUGUUUUACAUUGCAAAAUCAAUGCCGCCAUCGAGGCCACCCUCUGUCACGAUACAAAACCGACGCAGCCCUUCGUGGCGGCGCGGCGGCUGUUCCUACGAUCUCUUCCGGUAAAUCGCACAAUUAUUGAAAACGCGUUCCUGAUCUUCUUCCCUCUUCCGUUUCCUAUCCAUCGGAUACCAUCCAGAAGAACGCUGUGAAACGAUCUGCUAUUAAUUGCGUGAUUCUUUUUUCCUUUUGCGCGAUGCUUUUGUCGAACGAGCUUUGAAAUGGAAGCGAACGUUCCUGGAACUCGUGUUCUACGUAGAUACAGGGGUUUGUAGAAUCUUUCAAUCUGGAUAAAGAUGUCUAGAGAGUAGAAGAAGAUGAUAUCCGCACAGGUUGUUUCGUGUCUGUUAAAAUGCGUAUGGAGCAGAUUUAUAUUGAUUAUAUUGAUUGGAAAUUUGUAAAAUCGAGACAUUUGAUGUGAACCGCGUUUUUAUAGAAUGCGUGUUUCGAUGUUUUGCUAGAAGCGCAGCGAACUUUGUCACAAGUCUUCCUGAAGAGCAGCUCUCACACUUUGAUGCCUUGAUUCUUAAAAUUCUGCAGUACUAAACCGCAAAAUCUCACAUUUCUCGCAUCAAUUAAGAGAUAGGAAUAUUCUCGAAUUAAUACAAAAGUUGAAUGAAUAUUCCUAUAAUAAUCCUAUAAAGAUAUAAUAUUUUAAUGAAUAGUGGAAAAUAAUAUAUUGGAAAUUUAUUGUACUAUUUUCCAUCUAUCUCGCAAACUAGGAAAGAAUUAUCUUGAGAUCAAUCGGCAAUUUUAAUAAUUUGAAUUUUCAAGUUUUAGAAGAUUCUAAAAACGUGCAGUAUCUACAUCAUAAAUCACGCAUAAUAUUCAAUGAGUAGAUCUUCAAUAUUCAAUUCAGUACCAUGCAAUAAUGUUUCGAAUUCGUAUAUACGUAUUACAUCAUCGCGUUUAAAUUAUUCGCGCAAUUGAAAUGAUUUCCCUGGCAAGCUUGCUUGCCGGGCUCGGCGCGCAUUUGCAGGAACAUAGGAACGUUCGGUGAAGUCGUUACGUUUGAUCGCCACGAUUCAUGGUAUAGUAACGCGUUAUCCGCCGGUGAAGUCGCAAAUAUUCCACGGUUCGAUGAAGCACCGAGAAAUUGGGAUGUGCCGGAUAAUACAUUAUGCACCGUCCAAUCUCGCAGGUGAUUUCCCUCGAAUCGAGAGAGGCAAUCACCCUUUUUAAAUACUCAACGGUCGGCUCGAGAGGACCAAUAAAAGCUCACUUCGCGGAUUGGGUAAUAAAGCUCCAAUCAACGGCUUAAUUAUUCGAUUACGAGUCGGCCUGGCAAGAAGGAUCGAGGAACCCCGGAUCCCUGGUUUGUUUCCGGCCAGUGGAUUACAGAAUCGAAGAGUGAAUCUCUUUUGAGAUCAAACAACAAAUACAAUGGAAAGCUAAAUAUAGGAAUAUCGACAAAACCAAGAGACAAUAAAAUUGUGGAAAAGAAGAUAUUCGUCGCGAAACAACCAAAUGCUAAUAGUAAUCUUAAAAAGUUCAAGCAGUAAUAGGCGUACAUAUAUACAAAGAUUGACUUAAAAGAAAUAUAAUAAAGAGCGUAAAAAAUGGGAAAUUAUUUAGCGUUAUUUCUAAUUAAUUUAAAGCUUACUACGUUCAAAAAUGAAGAAAGCAAAGAAAUGCAACUGCAAGUCCUUCCAUCCGGCAACUGUAAUAUCGUCGAACUAUUCGUUAAUACCGGUAUAUCGAUAUAUUUAUGGCUGUCCCUAAGGAAUUUAUAAUCAUCGUCGUCUCGAUAAACGAUAGAAGGGAGAAAACAUUAUAGAAAGGGUAGGGGGAGCAAUUCGAUCUGGCGGCAUUAAUGCAGGUUUUAAUGAUCGCCGAUAUAUCGAGGAGAGCUUUUGAAUAUCGUCGCGUACGGGAAGACGAAUCGUUUCUUCACGGAGCUUUAUUAAAUCCGUGUUCUCGGAACGCGAGCGAGCGCGAGGAUCGUUCGAGAACGGGGCGUUAAUACGUUCGACAAUUUUUAUGCUCACGCUCCGGAGACAUAUUGGCGGCUUUAAUGCGACAUAAAAUUUCACAGCCCUGUCGGGCUACCGACAAUAUAUAUCGGCGCCACCUAUAUUGAAAUACAUAUUUCAUGCGGACGCGAUCAUCGCCGCGUUUACCUUUUUACACCAACCCCAUCUGAGCUUCCUUCGGAUAUUCGAAUCACUGAAUCACUCGCCACGUUCGAGGCUGUUAACGCGCGCCGGGGGUGUAUCAAAAGUCAUAUUAAAUUCAUGCAUCCCGACGCGACCAUCGAUAUUCCGUUUGGUCCACGUUUUGUAAUUUUUACAGGAAACGACCUGUUUUUUUAUUCGCGGCUCCGCUCUUUUCCUUUCUUCCGUUAAUUUGUAAACUAUGAGAACGUUAGGUAUGUUUCAUGAAUUCCGUCGUUUCUUUGUUAACCAAGUGUCAAGCAUAUCAUUUUUUUCGUUGCGCACUUUCCCAACGGUUACCUAAUCUUAAAUAAAUGUAAAUUUAAACAAAAUUGACCGAAUGCUGAAAGAACGAUAAUCAAGAGUGUAUUAGUUAAAAUAGGUGUGGUUAAUACUGAAACAUUGGUUACAUGCAUUUAGAUAGGAUACAAAUACAAUUCAAAUCACUCAACAGUUUCUUAGCCAUUUUUUAAAUUAUUUUAUUCUGACAAAAAAGUACUUAAUACAAGUUAUAUAUUUUACGAAGUCUGAGAUAGCCAAAUAAAUUUAUCAAUAUCGGACAGCGUUACUCGGUUCCCCGUGCAUUCGUAUUCAUUUGUUUGUGUUUCAUAUGAAAUAGCAACUUUGGUUUUUGAAAAAUUGAAAUUUGCCGAAAUUCAGACCGACAGCAUAGCUGCUCGCUAAAUGAUUACCAACGUUGCGAUCGUAGAGCGAAACGCUUCGAAGAAGCUGUAACUACAAUCAUGCUCUAAGCUAACAGCCGUCCAUCGAGAUAUUCGAACUUUCAUGGAGCACAGUUCGACUCGUGGAAUAUGACUUGAAAGUAUGAAUUCUGACGGGUGGCUGAAGACGAAGUUGCGAUGGGUGGGACCGGUAUUCUUCUUCGAGGCGGCGUUUCCCCACCAACUUUAUUAGAUAUUUUCUUCAAUAGGAUAGAAAUGCAAAUAACAGUUGUCAAGUAACUUCCUCCCGUUGAGUGGAAGAAAUAGAUGGGUCCAAGACGAAGAACGGACGAAGAUCGACUGAAAAUGGAAGAUAGGAAGACGAUGUCGGAGUACCAAUAUUGAGUCGUGAGCACAAUCGGACGCAUUAACCCUUUGCCAGACGAGAAGAAAUUCACCAACGAUCCAGCUUUGAGGAAUCUGACAACUGAGGAUGGAGGUUCUGAUUUCGUGUGGCCGCGGGAAGUUCAUUGAAAGCAUUGAUAUGAAAUAAUUGAAGUAGAAAAUAUAUUUUACAAAAGUACGUAGAUAGUUAAAACAAAAAAAUCAGCUGAUAUAGAUAAUUAACCUGAGAAUGGAAGGAUAUUAUAGGAAAAUACGUUUUUAAUUAGAUUAAUUACUUCGUAUAAAAAUUGUAUAAUGUACAUAAUAAAACAAAUAUACCACUAAUAUUAACAAAAAUGAUAAAUCUGUGAAACGGUAUAAUAGGGGCGAAAUACCAAACGUCUGAAAUGACUAUGGUUCAGAUAUCGAGAAGAAAAAUUCUUGGAAACAUUGAUCAGUUGCGUCAAUGGAAAAAUUGUUAUAAAGACGGAAUCCUAAAGGUAUUAGAAAUCUGCAAAUCGAGAAGAAUAACCCUUGGUAAUUUCAAUUCUCUGUUGUAACGUCGUACGAUAUAGGAGUAACCAAUUAAAAUUGCCACGAUCACGCUUCAAGCGGAUGGAUUAAUUAAGUUCAGCGACAGCUGUAGAAUGUAAAGUUAUUAGUACGAACAAGUUGUCCGCUAUGCGCUCCGAAUUAAAUGACGAUUCACCGAUACAAUUGGUAAUAUCACGAUCAUAGCUAUUCUUGACUCUGAUUCACACUCCUAAACGGCUGGAAUCCUUUCGUAAAUAAUUAAAGAGGUCAUCUUUGUGUCGCAACCACGCUCACACUUUAAAAAGAAUAAGACGAGAUAGAUAUAUUUCUUAAUGUACUUUAAUAUGAAAUAAAUUAAUGGAAAUGGUUGAAUUCGAAUUUCUAAUUGCUUGAAUAUAAUAACCGAGCCUAUUCAAGUUGACGUAUUUAGAUAAUUACGAGAAUACGAACAUUGGAAAAACAGAAUGGUUUGAGAGUUCGAAGAGUGACGAUACAUGUAAACUGAUUUCUCUUCUUCAGUAGGAACAAUUUUGUAAUAUUUUAAUUUAUAAUUUUAUAAUAUUUACGAGAGACUAUUUCCUAAUUACCUUUUUCUAGCUUGCGCACUUUGAUAACGUCGAAAAAAUCUGAAAUAACACACAGAUAGGAAUUGCACAAACGAAGGGUCGGCGAAUUUUUAGAUCCUGGCAAUUUUACUUUAUGUAAAAAAAACGAUGAUAAUUCGUAAGAAACAUACUUCAACGGUUACUCAGCCGCGAAAAUAUUUUGCUGAAUCUACAUUUUAAUUCCGAUGUACGUCUUCGGUCGGCUGAGUAAACGGAGGAGAGAGAAUAAACGUAGACGGGGACUUUAUUCGAUUUGCCUUCAUAUUUUUGUAAGCUGCGGCUCCGCUCCGUUUUCAUCUCGCCUUUCUCGUGAAUUUUAUAAUUAAUUAUCUUAAUGCAUUCGAUUCGGCGUUCCUUCCAUUUUCUCCGGCCGCCGUUCUCCGCAAAUCCCGGCGAAAGAUGCCGUAAAGUUUCCUCGCUUUUUUCCACCAGCGGAACGUGAUUUCCGUUUCCACACUCACGUUUAUCGAUUAUUUCCGAAGAAUGCUUAUUUCUGUAUUAAUCUUGGAUCGGCUAUAAGCGAAGAAAAGUAUGCACUUUUGCAAUAGCGUUUCAUGCGAUAUACUCUGAUAUUCCGAAGACAAAGCCGCAUUAAUAAUAAAAAUCGACUAUAUAAUUUUUAGUAAUUUUUAGCAAUUUUAAUAUUUACUGUACUCUUUUAAAAUAAAAGUUUAACGUGGAA